GGAGGCUUGAUUAAACGUGUAAUGAGGCCGGUCAGGUCAGGCUGAGUGAGGAAGAGGAGGCUUGAUUAAACGUGUAAUGAGGCCGUCAGGUCAGGCUGAGUGAUGAAGAGGAGGCUUGAUUAAACGUGUAAUGAGGCCGGUCAGGUCAGGCUGCGUGAUGAAGAGGAGGCUUGAUUAAACGUGUAAUGAGGCCGGUCAGGUCAGGCUGAGUGAGGAAGAGGAGGCUUGAUUAAACGUGUAAUGAGGCCGGUCAGGUCAGGCUGCGUGAUGAAGAGGAGGCUUGAUUAAACGUGUAAUGAGGCCGGUCAGGUCAGGCUGAGUGAUGAAGAGGAGGCUUGAUUAAACGUGUAAUGAGGCCGGUCAGGCUGAGUGAGGAAGAGGAGGCUUGAUUAAACGUGUAAUGAGGCCGGUCAGGUCAGGCUGCGUGAUGAAGAGGAGGCUUGAUUAAACGUGUAAUGAGGCCGGUCAGGUCAGGCUGAGUGAUGAAGAGGAGGCUUGAUUAAACGUGUAAUGAGGCCGGUCAGGUCAGGCUGCGUGAUGAAGAGGAGGCUUGAUUAAACGUGUAAUGAGGCCGGUCAGGUCAGGCUGAGUGAGGAAGAGGAGGCUUGAUUAAACGUGUAAUGAGGCCGUCAGGUCAGGCUGCGUGAGGAAGAGGAGGCUUGAUUAAACGUGUAAUGAGGCCGGUCAGGUCAGGCUGAGUGAGGAAGAGGAGGCUUGAUUAAACGUGUAAUGAGGCCGU